rnacentral:tRNA from 1 species
GGGGAUUUAGCUCAGUGGUAGAGCCCUUGCCUAGCAAGCAUAAGGCCCUGGGUUCAGUCCUCA